rnacentral:rRNA from 1 species
CCUACGGGAGGCAGCAGUGGGGAAUCUUGCACAAUGGAGGAAACUCUGAUGCAGCGAUGCCGCGUGAGUGAAGAAGGCCUUUGGGUUGUAAAGCUCUUUCGUCGGGGAAGAAAAUGACUGUACCCGAAUAAGAAGGUCCGGCUAACUUCGUGCCAGCAGCCGCGGUAAUACGAAGGGACCUAGCGUAGUUCGGAAUUACUGGGCUUAAAGAGUUCGUAGGUGGUUAAAAAAGUUGGUGGUGAAAUCCCAGAGCUUAACUCUGGAACUGCCAUCAAAACUUUUUAGCUAGAGUAUGAUAGAGGAAAGCAGAAUUUCUAGUGUAGAGGUGAAAUUCGUAGAUAUUAGAAAGAAUACCAAUUGCGAAGGCAGCUUUCUGGAUCAUUACUGACGCUGAGGAACGAAAGCAUGGGUAGCGAAGAGGAUUAGAUACCCUCGUAGUCCAUGCCGUAAACGAUGUGUGUUAGACGUUGGAAAUUUAUUUUCAGUGUCGCAGCGAAAGCAUUAAACACACCGCCUGGGGAGUACGACCACAAGGUUAAAACUCAAAUGAAUUGACGG